rnacentral:rRNA from 1 species
GAUGAACGCUAGCUACAGGCUUAACACAUGCAAGUCGAGGGGAAACGAUAGGGAAAGCUUGCUUUUCCUAGGCGUCGACCGGCGCACGGGUGAGUAACGCGUAUCCAACCUGCCCAUGUCUGGGGAAUAACCCGUCGAAAGGCGGACUAACUCCCCAUGGUCUCCGAUGAGGACAUCUGAAUUGGAGUAAAGCUUCGCGGACAUGGAUGGGGAUGCGUCUGAUUAGGUAGUAGGCGGGGUAACGGCCCACCUAGCCUACGAUCAGUAGGGGUUCUGAGAGGAAGGUCCCCCACAUUGGAACUGAGACACGGUCCAAACUCCUACGGGAGGCAGCAGUGAGGAAUAUUGGUCAAUGGACGAGAGUCUGAACCAGCCAAGUAGCGUGCAGGAUGACGGCCCUAUGGGUUGUAAACUGCUUUUGCGCGGGGAUAACACCCUCCACGUGCUGGAGGUCUGCAGGUACCGCGCGAAUAAGGACCGGC